rfam:Tetragenococcus muriaticus 3MR10-3 WGS_Sequence058_044, whole genome shotgun sequence.
UUUUCAUUGGUUUUUAUCAGCGUCCUGUUCUGAUAAAAGUUAGUGAAAAGAACUUCACUAACGUAAUGGCUCGCAGUGCUAGACACCGAGUUAUUACGUUUUUUA